CCCCCAGGGCCCAGAACUUUAAGGGGGCAUCCAGAGCUUUUGUUUAAUAAAGAACACCAUGUGGCUAUAAGCUAACAAAAUGCAAAUUGAAGACAGAUGAUGCUUCUGAGACUCCUACAAUCAGUGGGGGUGGAGGGCAGAUAAAGAACCAACAUGAAGGGAACUUCUAGAGAGUGGGAAGAAGUCUAACACCUUUCCUUUGUUGAGUGACUGUCACCCAUGAGAUCCUGGGGCUACACAUGAGAACAGACCACCAUGGACCCUGUGCUCAGAGCGCUGGUGUUGUGGCAUGUUGUUUAAACCCUCCCGCCCCAUUUUAGGAUAGGGCAGGGGGAAGGAAUUUUUUUUUUUAAUGUAAAGGGCCAGAUUGUAAAUAUUUUAGGCUCUGCAGGUCUACAAUUUGUGUCACAAAUAUUCAACUCUGCUAUUGUAGUGCAAAAGCAUACAGACAACACGAAAUCAUGGCUAUGUUCAAAUGAAACUUUGUUUGCAAAAGCAAGCAGUAGGUCUGAUUUAGCACGUGGGCUCAAAUUUGAUAAACCCUGGGACUGGCUCUUCUUUUGUACAAAGUCCUUUAGGCCUGUCACGCAGAAAAGUAGGCUUUGGAAUAAUCAGGGUCUCUUGUAGAAACAUCUAGGUUUAGUAUUUACCUUACAGCCCCAUCUGAAGCUCUCAGAAGACACUGCGUAGACCUGAGUGGUGGAUCUGAAGUUCCUCUUAGUCAUCUGUUUCAGUCCAGUAAUCAACCAGCUUUUGAAAAAGUAAUCAUUGCUACCAUCCUCUGAAAACAGAGAUGCCUGUUUUCUGGGCAGGCUUGGAGACUAGCCAAGGCAGUGUGACGAUUCCUGGAAUUUCAACACACCCGCGGGGUGGACUGAGCGAGCUCCUCCUGCACAUGCACCUGGUCUGCCUGGAGAGUCACCCCGCGGCCUCUCCCUGCCUCCUGGGAGCCACUCCAGCAGCCCUGGGUCUGAAGUCCCGUGAAAAUGUGAUGGUGUCUGAGUGAGGAGCCCCCCUCUCAAGCUUCGAUAGCACCCCAUGUGUUCUACAUGAUACCCCCCUCCAUGCCUCUUUCCCAACGCACUGUGGUUGCCCAUUGACUCAUUUCUAGAAUCUUCCUCACUAAUUAUAAAGGAGGCUCAGGGAGGUCAGGGACUGUAUCUGCCCAGAUCAUCAUUUUAUUUCCCUUGCUUAGCUCAG
rnacentral:lncRNA from 1 species